CCUACGGGGGGCUGCAGUGGGGAAUGUUGGACAAUGGGCGCAAGCCUGAUCCAGCUAUUCCGCGUGUGGGAUGACGGCCCUCGGGUUGUAAACCACUUUAGUAGAGAACGAAAAGGAGCGAUCGAAGAAAUAGCUCUGCUGACGGUACUCGAAGAAGAAGCACCGGCUAACUACGUGCCAGCAGCCGCGGUAAGACGUAGGGGGCGAGCGUUAAUCGUAAUUACUGGGCGUAAAGGGUGUGAAGGCGGCGGCGUAAGACAGAUGUGAACUCCCCGGGCUUAACCUGGGAACCGCAUAUGUGACUUCUUGGCUAGAGUGCGUCAGAGGGAGGUGGAAUUCCACGUGUAGCCGU
rnacentral:rRNA from 1 species